rnacentral:rRNA from 1 species
GUGAGGAAUAUUGGUCAAUGGACGAGAGUCUGAACCAGCCAAGUAGCGUGAAGGAUGAAGGUCCUACGGAUUGUAAACUUCUUUUAUAAGGGAAUAAACCCUCCCACGUGUGGGAGCUUGUAUGUACCUUAUGAAUAAGCAUCGGCUAACUCCGUGCCAGCAGCCGCGGUAAUACGGAGGAUGCGAGCGUUAUCCGGAUUUAUUGGGUUUAAAGGGAGCGCAGACGGGUCGUUAAGUCAGCUGUGAAAGUUUGGGGCUCAACCUUAAAAUUGCAGUUGAUACUGGCGUCCUUGAGUGCGGUUGAGGUGUGCGGAAUUCGUGGUGUAGCGGUGAAAUGCUUAGAUAUCACGAAGAACUCCGAUUGCGAAGGCAGCACACUAAUCCGUAACUGACGUUCAUGCUCGAAAGUGUGGGUAUCAAACAGGAUUAGAAACCCUGGUAGUCC